rnacentral:snoRNA from 1 species
UCCUUUUACAAAGGUGUGUCUGUGGUUCCCUGUCCUUCCACAUGUGAGAGUUGGAGGCAAAGAGAUGUGGACUUGGAGAAGCCUGGAGCCGGCUUGCUCCCCCCAGGCUCAUGAUCCUCCUUCCUCACACAG